rnacentral:rRNA from 1 species
GUGGGGAAUAUUGGACAAUGGGCGCAAGCCUGAUCCAGCCAUGCCGCGUGAGUGAUGAAGGCCUUAGGGUUGUAAAGCUCUUUCAGUGGGGACGAUAAUGACGGUACCCACAGAAGAAGCCCCGGCUAACUUCGUGCCAGCAGCCGCGGUAAUACGAAGGGGGCUAGCGUUGUUCGGAUUUACUGGGCGUAAAGCGCACGUAGGCGGAUCGUUAAGUCGGGGGUGAAAUCCUGGAGCUCAACUCCAGAACUGCCUUCGAUACUGGCGAUCUUGAGUCCGGAAGAGGUGAGUGGAACUCCUAGUGUAGAGGUGGAAUUCGUAGAUAAUAGGAAGAACACCAGUGGCGAAGGCGGCUCACUGGUCCGGUACUGACGCUGAGGUGCGAAAGCGUGGGGAGCAAACAGGAUUAGAAACCCUUGUAGUCC